GUGGCAGGCACAGUGCUGGUUGACAGCCCUGGCUCAGGUGCCAUCCUCUAUGUAAAGUCAGCCUGCUCUGUCGGCUUCUGUGGAGACAAAUGCCAGAAGCGUUGCCCUCCUACUUGCUUGAGCGGACGCACCUACAACCCCUUGACGGGUCAAUGUGACGGCCUUCUGAGUUGCAAACGUCGGUUCAGCCCUUCUUGUCUUCAAGGCCUGGUGAGCUCAAGAUGUCCUCACAAUCCUGGCUGGUGGUUCUGGGAUGGACACUGCUAUUAUGUGGA